rnacentral:rRNA from 1 species
AGAGUUUGAUCCUGGCUCAGGAUGAACGCUGGCGGCGUGCCUAAUACAUGCAAGUCGAGCGAACGGACGAGAAGCUUGCUUNUCUGAUGUUAGCGGCGGACGGGUGAGUAACACGUGGAUAACCUACCUAUAAGACUGGGAUAACUUCGGGAAACCGGAGCUAAUACCGGAUAAUAUUUUGAACCGCAUGGUUCAAAAGUGAAAGACGGUCUUGCUGUCACUUAUAGAUGGAUCCGCGCUGCAUUAGCUAGUUGGUAAGGUAACGGCUUACCAAGGCAACGAUGCAUAGCCGACCUGAGAGGGUGAUCGGCCACACUGGAACUGAGACACGGUCCAGACUCCUACGGGAGGCAGCAGUAGGGAAUCUUCCGCAAUGGGCGAAAGCCUGACGGAGCAACGCCGCGUGAGUGAUGAAGGUCUUCGGAUCGUAAAACUCUGUUAUUAGGGAAGAACAUAUGUGUAAGUAACUGUGCACAUCUUGACGGUACCUAAUCAGAAAGCCACGGCUAACUACGUGCCAGCAGCCGCGGUAAUACGUAGGUGGCAAGCGUUAUCCGGAAUUAUUGGGCGUAAAGCGCGCGUAGGCGGUUUUUUAAGUCUGAUGUGAAAGCCCACGGCUCAACCGUGGAGGGUCAUUGGAAACUGGAAAACUUGAGUGCAGAAGAGGAAAGUGGAAUUCCAUGUGUAGCGGUGAAAUGCGCAGAGAUAUGGAGGAACACCAGUGGCGAAGGCGACUUUCUGGUCUGUAACUGACGCUGAUGUGCGAAAGCGUGGGGAUCAAACAGGAUUAGAUACCCUGGUAGUCCACGCCGUAAACGAUGAGUGCUAAGUGUUAGGGGGUUUCCGCCCCUUAGUGCUGCAGCUAACGCAUUAAGCACUCCGCCUGGGGAGUACGACCGCAAGGUUGAAACUCAAAGGAAUUGACGGGGACCCGCACAAGCGGUGGAGCAUGUGGUUUAAUUCGAAGCAACGCGAAGAACCUUACCAAAUCUUGACAUCCUUUGACAACUCUAGAGAUAGAGCCUUCCCCUUCGGGGGACAAAGUGACAGGUGGUGCAUGGUUGUCGUCAGCUCGUGUCGUGAGAUGUUGGGUUAAGUCCCGCAACGAGCGCAACCCUUAAGCUUAGUUGCCAUCAUUAAGUUGGGCACUCUAAGUUGACUGCCGGUGACAAACCGGAGGAAGGUGGGGAUGACGUCAAAUCAUCAUGCCCCUUAUGAUUUGGGCUACACACGUGCUACAAUGGACAAUACAAAGGGCAGCGAAACCGCGAGGUCAAGCAAAUCCCAUAAAGUUGUUCUCAGUUCGGAUUGUAGUCUGCAACUCGACUACAUGAAGCUGGAAUCGCUAGUAAUCGUAGAUCAGCAUGCUACGGUGAAUACGUUCCCGGGUCUUGUACACACCGCCCGUCACACCACGAGAGUUUGUAACACCCGAAGCCGGUGGAGUAACCUUUUAGGAGCUAGCCGUCGAAGGUGGGACAAAUGAUUGGGGUGAAGUCGUAACAAGGUAGCCGUAUCGGAAGGUGCGGCUGGAUCACCU